GGUGAACGCUAGCGGCAGGCCUAAUACAUGCAAGUCGAACGCUCAGUAGCAAUACUGGGAGUGGCGCACGGGUGCGUAACGCGUACACAAUCUACCUCUAAGCGGGGGACACCUCCUGGAAACGGGGAUUAAUACCGCAUAAUAUGCCGAGGUCGCAUGACUUUGGUAUUAAAGCAGCAAUGCACUUAGAGAUGAGUGUGCGUCCCAUUAGGUAGUUGGUGAGGUAACGGCUCACCAAGCCUAUGAUGGGUAGCCGGUCUGAGAGGAUGGUCGGCCACACGGGCACUGAGACACGGGCCCGACUCCUACGGGAGGCAGCAGUAAGGAAUAUUGGUCAAUGGUGGAAACACUGAACCAGCCAUGCCGCGUGGAGGAAUAAGGUCCUACGGAUUGUAAACUCCUUUUGACGAGGAAGAAAGUGUUAGAUUUAUCUAAUUUUGACGGUACUCGUAGAAUAAGCACCGGCUAACUCCGUGCCAGCAGCCGCGGUAAU
rnacentral:rRNA from 1 species